UAAAACGUAGGUGGCGAGCGUUAUCCGGAAUUACUGGGCGUAAAGCGUGUGCAGGCGGGCGGAUAAGUGGUGUAUGAAAUAUCCCGGCUCAACCGGGAGGGGUUAUGCCAGACUGUCCGUCUUGAGUGCGAGAGAGGAGCGUGGAAUUCCGGGUGUAGUGGUGAAAUGCGUAGAGAUCCGGAGGAACCCCAGAGGCGAAGGCGGCGCUCUGGCUCGCAACUGACGCUCAGACACGACAGCAUGGGGAGCGAACGGGAUUAGAAACCCCGGUAGUCCAUGCCGUAAACGAUGCCAACUAGGCGCUGCGGGACUCAACCCCCGCGGUGCCGCAGCAAACGCGAUAAGUUGGCCGCCUGGGGAGUACGGCCGCAAGGCUA
rnacentral:rRNA from 1 species